UACAGAGGUCUCAAGCGUUGUUCGGAUUCAUUGGGCGUAAAGGGUGCGUAGGCGGCGUGGUAAGUCGGGUGUGAAAUCUCGGGGCUUAACUCCGAAACUGCAUUCGAUACUGUGGUGCUUGAGGACUGGAGAGGAGACUGGAAUUCACGGUGUAGCAGUGAAAUGCGUAGAUAUCGUGAGGAAGACCAGUGGCGAAGGCGGGUCUCUGGACAGUUCCUGACACUGAGGCACGAAGGCCAGGGGGAGCAAAACGGG
rnacentral:rRNA from 1 species